rnacentral:misc_RNA from 1 species
UCCCAGUUAACCUAGGCAGUCUCACUAGAGUCCCCGCCUUAAGCGUUGGCAACUAAUGAUAAGGGUUGCGCUCGUUGCUGGACUUAACCAAACACCUCACGGCACGAGCUGACGACAGCCAUGCAGCACCUAUAUAACAGCCCUUGCGGGAAAUACCAUUUCUGGUAUCGUCCAUUACAUUUCGAGCCUGGGUAAGGUUCUUCGCGUUGCAUCGAAUUAAACCACAUGCUCCACUGCUUGUGCGGGCCCCCGUCAAUUCUUUUGAGUUUCAUCCUUGCGAGCGUACUCCCCAGGCGGAGUGCUUCACGCGUUAGCUGCGGCACCGACAGGCAAGCCUGCCGACGCCUAGCACUCAUCGUUUACAGCGUGGACUAC